rnacentral:rRNA from 1 species
CGAGUGGCGGACGGGUGAGUAACGCGUGGGUAACCUGCCUUACACAGGGGGAUAACACCUGGAAACAGGUGCUAAUACCGCAUAAGCGCACAGGGCCGCAUGGCCCGGUGUGAAAAACUCCGGUGGUGUAAGAUGGACCCGCGUCUGAUUAGCUUGUUGGCGGGGUAGAGGCCCACCAAGGCGACGAUCAGUAGCCGGCCUGAGAGGGUGGACGGCCACAUUGGGACUGAGACACGGCCCAAACUCCUACGGGAGGCAGCAG